rnacentral:piRNA from 8 species
UGGGUCGGGGUUUCGUACGUAGCA